UACGGAGGGUGCAAGCGUUAUCCGGAUUCACUGGGUUUAAAGGGUGCGUAGGUGGGCAGUUAAGUCAGUGGUGAAAUCUCCGGGCUCAACCCGGAAACUGCCAUUGAUACUAUCUGUCUUGAAUAUCGUGGAGGUAAGCGGAAUAUGUCAUGUAGCGGUGAAAUGCUUAGAUAUGACAUAGAACACCAAUUGCGAAGGCAGCUCGCUACACUAUCAUUGACACUGAGGCACGAAAGCGUGGGGAUCAAACAGG
rnacentral:rRNA from 1 species